AUUGAACGCUGGCGGCAUGCUUUACACAUGCAAGUCGAACGGUAACAGGCAUCUGGCUGCUGAAGUGAGCGGCAGGGGUGAGUAAAGUACCUGAACGUGCCCCUGGGAGGGGGAUAAAACAGCGAAAGACGGGCUCUUAUAGCGUGUGCUCCGUGGGUGAAAGCGUGGGAGCUGUCCGCAACUCUUGGUCUCACAUCAUUGGAGGUCGGAUUGGCUAGUUGGUGGGGUGAAGGCCUACCAAGGCGACGAUCCGUAGCUGGUCUGAGAGGAUGAGCAGCCACACUGGAACUGAGACACGGCCCAGACUCCUACGGGAGGCAGCAGUGGGGAAUUUUGGACAAUGGGCGAAAGCCUGAUCCAGCAAUGCCGCGUGCGGGAAGAAGGCCUUCGGGUUGUAAAGCACUUUUGUUCGGGACGAAGAGCAGUAAGCUAAUACCUUGCUGUUUUGACGUUACCGUAAGAAUAAGCACCGGCUAACUACGUG
rnacentral:rRNA from 1 species